rnacentral:rRNA from 1 species
UAGGGAAUCUUCCGCAAUGGGCGAAAGCCUGACGGAGCAACGCCGCGUGAGUGAUGAAGGUCUUCGGAUCGUAAAACUCUGUUAUUAGGGAAGAACAAAUGUGUAAGUAACUAUGCACGUCUUGACGGUACCUAAUCAGAAAGCCACGGCUAACUACGUGCCAGCAGCCGCGGUAAUACGUAGGUGGCAAGCGUUAACCGGAAUUAUUGGGCGUAAAGCGCGCGUAGGCGGUUUUUUAAGUCUGAUGUGAAAGCCCACGGCUCAACCGUGGAGGGUCAUUGGAAACUGGAAAACUUGAGUGCAGAAGAGGAAAGUGGAAUUCCAUGUGUAGCGGUGAAAUGCGCAGAGAUAUGGAGGAACACCAGUGGCGAAGGCGACUUUCUGGUCUGUAACUGACGCUGAUGUGCGAAAGCGUGGGGAUCAAACAGG